rnacentral:pre_miRNA from 1 species
GCAACGUAGCUGGGUAUGCGUCUUAGUCAUACUGUUCACAACAAGGGUUAUGACUAGAUCCAUACUCAGCUCUGCGACAAG